ACCCCCUCCAGGUGUCUCCCAUCUCCCCCACCUGUCCUUGUCUCCACCCCCUCCAGGUGUCUCCCAUCUUCCCCACCUGUCCUUGUCUCCACCCCCUCCAGGUGUCUCCCAUCUUCCCCACCUGUCCUUGUCUCCACCCCCUCCAGGUGUCUCCCAUCUUCCCCACCUGUCCUUGUCUCCACCCCCUCCAGGUGUCUCCCAUCUUCCCCACCUGUCCUUGUCUCCACCCCCUCCAGGUGUCUCCCAUCUUCCCCACCUGUCCUUGUCUCCACCCCCUCCAGGUGUCUCCCAUCUUCCCCACCUGUCCUUGUCUACAACCCCUCCAGGUGUCUCCCAUCUUCCCCACUUGUCCUCUGGGUAUUUAAACCUGUGUUUUCUGUCUGUCUGUUACCAGUUUGUCUGGUUUGUUCAAGUCAACCAGAGGUUUGUCUCAGCGCCUGCUUUGCCACAGUCUCUCGUUUCCCCCCUUGUCCUCCUGGUUUUGACCCUUGCCUGUCCUGACCCUGGGCCUGCCUGCAGUCCUGUACCUUGGCCCCACUACCUGGAUUAUCAACCCCUGCCUGACCCUGGGCAUGCCUGCCGUCUUGUACCUUGGCCCCACUACCUGGAUUAUCGACCCCUGCCUGACCCUGGGCCUGCCUGCCGUCCUGUACCUUGGCCCCACUACUCUGGAUUAUCGACCCCUGCCUGACCCUGGGCCUGCCUGCCUGCCGUCCUGUACCUUGGCCCUACUCUGGAUUAUUGACCCCUGCCUGACCCUUGCACUGCCUGCCGUCCUGUACCUUUGCCCCUACUAUGGAUUAUCGACCCCUGCCUGACCCUGGGCCUGCCUGCCGUCCUGUACCUUGGCCCUACUACCGGGAUUAUCGACCCCUGCCUGACCCGGUGCCUGCCUGCCGUCCUGUGCCCUUUGCCCCUACUCUGGAUUAUUGACCCCUGCCUGACCCUGCGCCUGCCUGCCGUCCUGUACCUUGGCGGCCCUACUACCUGGAUUACCGACCCCUCCCUGACCCUGACCCUGAGCCUGCCUGCCGUCCUGUACCUUGGCCCCACUACCCUGGAUUAUCGACCCCUGCCUGACCCUGACCCUGAGCCUGCCUGCCGUCCUGUACCUUGGCCCCACUACCCUGGAUUAUCGACCCCUGCCUGCCUUGACCUGUCGUUUGCCUCCCCCCUGUUGUUGCAAUAAACAUUGUUUCUUCAACACGUCUGCACUUGGGUCUUACCUGAAACCUGAUAUCAGCACAGUGUUUGUAUUGAUUAGAUGGCUGUAUUGUGGACCUCAGCACAGUGUUUGUAUUGACUGGAGCAUUUCUCCGUCAGUGCAGGGUUCCCCAGAGUGUGUCCUCCAUCCAAUGAAUGCAUGGCUGUGUUGUUUACCACGGUUCGGUUUUUCUGAUGAAAGCGUGGUUGUUUGGAGGAUCUCAGUCAUCAAUGGGCUUUUCUGAUAAGGUUGUCAAUGUGUGGUUUGACUUAUCAAUAUGCCUUUUUUGUUGUUGAAGGAAAUGCUUUGUGCUGUAGGCCUGUAAUAUAACUCAACAUGAUUUUUUUCAAUGACAGCAGCACGUUGUAGAUAAACUAGCCAAAAAAUCUUUCUGAUUCAGACAUUUGAUAGUGGGGCAACUCAUCAAUAUGCUUUUUCUGAUGAAGACGACGCUUUGUGAGCGCAUCAAAGUGUGGUUUAAACCACCGAUGUACCUGUCUGGUGUGUCUUGAUGAGCACAGUGGACAACCCAGUGAGGUGCAUGUUGAUUCAUGCAGCAGUACAGUCAGUACCUGUACCUGUCUGGUGUGUCUUGAUGAGCACAGUGGACAACCCAGUGAGGUGCAUGUUGAUUCAUGUAGCAGUUCAGUCAGUACCUGUACCUGUCUGGUGUGUCUUGAUGAGCACAGUGGACAACCCAGUGAGGUGCAUGUUGAUUCAUGCAGCAGUACAGUCAGUACCUGUACCUGUCUGGUGUGUCUUGAUGAGCACAGUGGACAACCCAGUGAGGUGCAUGUUGAUUCAUGCAGCAGUACAGUCAGUACCUGUACCUGUCUGGUGUGUCUUGAUGAGCACAGUGGACAACCCAGUGAGGUGCAUGUUGAUUCAUGCAGCAGUACAGUCAGUACCUGUACCUGUCUGGUGUGUCUUGAUGAGCACAGUGGACAACCCAGUGAGGUGCAUGUUGAUUCAUGCAGCAGUACAGUCAGUACCUGUACCUGUCUGGUGUGUCUUGAUGAGCACAGUGGACAACCCAGUGAGGUGCAUGUUGAUUCAUGUAGCAGUUCAGUCAGUACCUGUACCUGUCUGGUGUGUCUUGAUGAGCACAGUGGACAACCCAGUGAGGUGCAUGUUGAUUCAUGCAGCAGUACAGUCAGUACCUGUACCUGUCUGGUGUGUCUUGAUGAGCACAGUGGACAACCCAGUGAGGUGCAUGUUGAUGCAUGUAGCAGUUCAGUCAGUACCUGUACCUGUCUGGUGUGACGCUGCAGUGUUUCUCUGCUCCUAAAGACAAAGAAAAAAAGAGACAAAUAUGCGUUUCUAAUCUCUGUGCUGAAUGAAACUGAAACAAAGAGGAGGAACACAAAUACAGAAGCCUGGACACACACAAGAUAAGCUGAUUAAAGGGGAGAGAGGAGAGAGAGAGACACGCAGAGAAAGAAAGAGAGAGACACACAGAGACAGAGAGAGAG